rnacentral:lncRNA from 1 species
AUGUGAGUCUGAUUUAGAAUCUGUUUCCAUCUGGUAUUGUUCCAGCUUCUUUACACAUGGUCACUUCCACAACAUCUACUAGUCCCACUACUACAGUAUUUUCACAGCCUGUAUCUUCCACAGCAUCUACUAGUUCAACUUCUACAGCUUCUUUACACAUGGUCACUUCCACAACAUCUACCAGUCCCACUACUACAGUUCUUUUACAACCGGUCACUUCCACACCAUCUAGUUCUACAUCUACAGUCUCUUUACAGCCAGUCAAUUCUACAACAUCUACUGGUUGUACUUCUACAGCUCCUUUACACAUGGUCACUUCCACAACAUCUACCAAUCCUACUACCACAGUUAAUUUACAACCGUUCACGUCCACAACAUACACUAGUUCUACUUCAACAGUGUCUUUACAGCCAGUCACUUCCACAACAUUUACUAGUUCUACUUCUACAGCUUCUUUACACAUGGUCACUUCCACAACAUCUACUAGUCCCACUACUACAGUUCUUUUACAACCAGUCACUUCCGCAACAUCUACAAGUUCUACUUCUGCAGUUUCUUUAAAGCCAGUCACCUCCGCAAAAUCUUCUAGUUCUACUUCUACAGCUUCUUUACACAUGGUCACUUCCACAACAUCUACCAGUCCCACUACUACAGGUGAAUGUGUUGCUGUACUGGAAUGUGGCUUUCACAAGAAGCUCCUCCUAAUCUGAGUCUGAUUUAACAGCUGUUUCCAUAUGUUGUGUUUCAGUUACUUUACCGCCAAUCACGUCCACAGCAUUUACAGGUCAUACUUCUACAGGUUAGUGUGAUGCUGGACUUCCUUUCAUCCAAGUUUUGGUGCUGAUUUCUGCCUCCU